rnacentral:rRNA from 1 species
GGAGUUUGGACCGUGUCUCAGUUCCAAUGUGGGGGACCUUCCUCUCAGAACCCCUACCGAUCGAGGGCUUGGUGGGCCGUUACCCCGCCAACUACCUAAUCGGACGCAUCCCCAUCCAUGGCCGGUAAACCUUUAGUCCUCGUUAGAUGCCUUCAAAGGACGCCAUAGGGCAUUAAUCCGCUUUUCAACGGGCUAUUCCCUAGCCAUGGGCAGGUUGGAUACGCGUUACUCACCCGUGCGCCGGUCGCCAGCGACAAUAGCAAGACUAUACCGUCCUGCUGCCCCUCGACUUGCAUGUGUUAAGCCUGUAGCUAGCGUUCAUC